CCUACGGGUGGCUGCAGUGAGGAAUAUUGGUCAAUGGGCGCGAGCCUGAACCAGCCCAGUAGCGUGAAGUAUGACUGCCCUACGGGUUGUAAACUUCUUUUAUAAAGGCAUAAAGUGAGGCACGUGUGCCUUUUUGUAUGUACUUUAUGAAUAAGGAUCGGCUAACUCCGUGCCAGCAGCCGCGGUACUACGGAGGAUCCUAGCGUUAUCCGUAUUUCUUUGGUUUAAAGGGAGCGUAGAUGGUUUGUUAAGUCAGUUGUGAAAGUUUGCGGCGCAACCGUAAAAUUGCAAUUGAUACUGGCAGUCUUGAGUACAGUUGAGGUAGGCGGAAUUCGUGGUGGAGCGGUGAAAUGCUUAGAUAUCACGAAGAACUCCGAUUGCGAAGGCAGCUUACUAAACUGCCACUGACAUUGAUGCUCGAAAGUGUGGGUAUCAAACAGGAUUAGAUACCCGGGUAGUC
rnacentral:rRNA from 1 species